CCUACGGGAGGCAGCAGUGGGGAAUAUUGGACAAUGGGCGAAAGCCUGAUCCAGCAAUGCCGCGUGAGUGAUGAAGGCCUUAGGGUUGUAAAGCUCUUUUACCAGGGAUGAUAAUGACAGUACCUGGAGAAUAAGCUCCGGCUAACUCCGUGCCAGCAGCCGCGGUAAUACGGAGGGAGCUAGCGUUGUUCGGAAUUACUGGGCGUAAAGCGUACGUAGGCGGUUAUUCAAGUCAGAGGUGAAAGCCUGGAGCUCAACUCCAGAACUGCCUUUGAAACUAGAUAGCUAGAAUCUUGGAGAGGUGAGUGGAAUUCCGAGUGUAGAGGUGAAAUUCGUAGAUAUUCGGAAGAACACCAGUGGCGAAGGCGACUCACUGGACAAGUAUUGACGCUGAGGUACGAAAGCGUGGGGAGCAAACAGGAUUAGAUACCCUGGUAGUCCACGCCGUAAACGAUGAUAACUAGCUGUUCGGGCUCUACGAGCUUGAGUGGCGCAGCUACGCAUUAAGUUACUCCGUCCGUGGGUAGGUACGGUCGCGAAGAAUUAAAACGUUAAAAGUAAGUUAGACGGCGUGAGACGUGCCGACGACGACGACGAGGGAGGUAGG
rnacentral:rRNA from 1 species